UUUUGACCCGUCCUGAAACACGGACCAAGAAGUCUAUCUUGCGCGCGAGCCAAUGGUACUCAGUUGAAACACCAAAGGCGCAAAAAACAUAACUUGAAACUGUGCGGGAUUACGGGCGAGACUCUCUGCUCGUCCCUCCAUCCCCGGGUGUUAUACCAGGCAUGCCGGGGGCCUCGCGCCCUCGGUGCCAUAACAUACCGCGAGUGUGCAGGAUGUGACCCGAAAGAUGGUGAACUAUGCCUGAUCAGGUUGAAGUCAGGGGAAACCCUGAUGGAGGACCGAAGCAGUUCUGACGUGCAAAUCGAUUGUCAGAAUUGGGCAUAGGGGCGAAAGACCAAUCGAACCAUCUAGUAGCUGGUUUCCUUCCGA
rnacentral:rRNA from 1 species